rnacentral:rRNA from 1 species
CAGUGAUGUAAAGCGAAACUCAAAAAGACAGUCUCAGUUCGGAUUGAAGGCUGAAAUUCGCCUUCAUGAAGUCGGAAUUGCUAGUAAUGGCAGGUCAGCAUACUGCCGUGAAUACGUUCUCGGGCCUUGUACACACCGCCCGUCACACCAUGGGAGUCGGUAACACCCGAAGUCUGUAGCCUGACGCAAGAGGGCGCAGCCGAAGGUGGGAUUGAUGACUGGGGUGAAGUCGUAACAAGGUAUC